GGGCCCGCACAAGCGGUGGAUUAUGUGGUUUAAUUCGAAGCAACGCGCAGAACCUUACCUAGGCUUGAAAUCCUACGAAUACCGAGUAAUGUUGGUAGUGCCCGCAAGGGAAUGUAGUGACAGGUGCUGCAUGGCUGUCGUCAGCUCGUGUUGUGAAAUGUUGGGUUAAGUCUCGCAACGAGCGCAACCCCUAUCUUUAGUUGCCAGCAUUAAGUUGGGCACUCUAGAGAGACUGCCCGGGUUAACCGGGAGGAAGGUGGGGAUGACGUCAAGUCCUCAUGGCCCUUAUGCCUAGGGCUACACACGUAAUACAAUGGUGCAUACAAAGGGAAGCGAUCUGGUGACAGUUAGCAAAUCUCAAAAAGUGCAUCUCAGUCCGGAUUGGAGUCUGCAACUCGACUCCAUGAAGUUGGAAUCGCUAGUAAUCG
rnacentral:rRNA from 1 species